rnacentral:rRNA from 1 species
AUGAAUUAUGCUUAUGGAGAUGAACUUGCUAUAGUUCCUUAUGUUAAACAUGAAAUUGUUGCUAUUGCACCCACGCAUGAUAGUCCUAUUAUCUUUUUGAAUUCCCCCGACUACACUAUAUCGGAGAAGUUUGCACUUAUUAAGGAUUAUAUUGAUGGGUUGUGUUUUACUAUUACACAUGAUGAUUUUGAUAGAUAUAAUAUGCAUGUGCUUGCUGCUCCUACUUGCAAUUAUUAUGAGAGAGGAACUAUAUCUCCACAUCUCUAUGUUUCCCACAUGAUAAAAUUGCAAGAAACUGUUUAUACUAUGCAUUGGCCUUUACUAUGUGUGCAUGAAUUGUUCUUUUAUGACAUGCCGAUGCAUAGGAAGAGAGUUAGACUUCGUCAUUGCUUGAUAUAUGUUGCUUUGUGCUCAUUACUAAAUGCCAAAUCAUUGCUAAUUAAAAUUGUCUUUGAUAUACCUUGGGAUCCGGGUGGGUUCACUACUUGA